CAGAGUUAUCCAAACUCCCAAACCCAUGUGAAUCUACCAGUAUAGUUGCCUCGGCGGUUGCUGGUGUCUUGUAGCUACCCGGAACCUACCCGGUACUGUGUAGCUACCCGGCACCGUUCGGCCCGCCGAAGGUCCACAACCAAACUCUUUGUUUUUUAUAGUGGCAAUCUGAAUUCAAAAAACUUAAUAAGUUA
rnacentral:misc_RNA from 1 species